rnacentral:rRNA from 1 species
UUUUGAAAAAAAAAAAAUGUAACAAGGUCUCCGUAGGUGAACCUGACGGAGGGAUCAUUA